UAAUGAAUUAAGAACAAUAAUGGUAAGAAACAGUAUGUGAAACCUUUGUUAAUUUCCCAGUUUUCUGCAUGAAUUGACCAUAAAAUGUGAUCUGAUCUACAUCGAAGUCACAAGUACAGACAAACACAAUGUGCUUAACGCGAUACAACACAAACAAUUAUA